UUACCACCGACCAGUCCUCAGCCGGCAACAUGAAGCUGGGUGGCCUCUGCCUCCUGCUCCUCCUCGCCGUCCUUCUCACCCUCAAUGCAGAGUUCCAAGCAGUUGAUGUAGGUAUCUGUGUGACGGAGUGCAAGGUAGACCAGGACUGUGGGGCAGGAAGACGAUGCACCAGCAAUGGAUGUGGCCGGGUCUGCUCCCCAGUCCGGCGAAGAGAGGCCUGCGAGCACCAGUGCAGAGAAGACAGGGACUGUGGGAGUGGACAUCAGUGCGUGAGGAAGGGCUGUGGGCACGUCUGCGCCCCCGUCCAUCAAGUCGGUAUCUGUGUGAUGGAGUGCCGUGUAGACCAGGACUGUGGGGAAGGAAGACUAUGCAUCAGUAAUGGGUGUGGCCGUGUCUGCUUCCCAGUCCGGCGAAGAGAGGCCUGCGAGCACCAGUGCAGAGAAGACAGGGACUGUGGGAGUGGACAUCAGUGCGUGAGGAAGGGCUGUGGGCACGUCUGCGCCCCCGUCCAUCAAGUCGAUGUAGGUAUCUGUGUGACGGAGUGCCGUGUAGACCAGGACUGUGGGGAAGGAAGACUAUGCAUCAGUAAUGGGUGUGGCCGUGUCUGCUUCCCAGGGCGAAGAGAGGCCUGCGAGCACCAGUGCAGAGAAGACAGGGACUGUGGGAGUGGACAUCAGUGCGUGAGGAAGGGCUGUGGGCACGUCUGCGCCCCCGUCCAUCAAGUCGGUAUCUGUGUGACGGAGUGCAACGUAGACCAGGACUGUGGGGAAGGAAGACAAUGCACCAGCAAUGGGUGUGGCCGUGUCUGCUCCCCAGUCCAGCAAGAAGAUGUAGGUAUCUGUGUGACGGAGUGCAAUGUAGACCAGGACUGUGGGGCAGGAAGACGAUGCACCAGCAAUGGAUGUGGCCGUGUCUGCUCCCCA
rnacentral:lncRNA from 1 species